rnacentral:rRNA from 1 species
CUGCAGCCCGAGUGGUGAUCGAUUUUAUUGAGCCUAAAGCGUCCGUAGCCGGACUAGUAAACCCUUGGGUAAAUUGGGCAGCUUAACUGUCCAAAUUCCGAGGGGACUGCUAGUCUUGGGACCGGGAGAGGUCAGAGGUACUCAAGGGGUAGGGGCUAAAUCCUGUAAUCCUUUGGGGACCACCAGUGGCGAAGGCGCCUGACUAGAACGGAUCCGACGGUAAGGGACGAAACCCUGGGGCGCGAACCGGAUUAGAUACCCGAGUAGUCC